UCAGGACCCAGACAUAGGCUCCACUACCAUAGCCAUUCAUGUGAUGGGCACAACUAGGACAGAGGUGGUUGCCAAUACCUCUUCUCCAAAGUAUAAUCAUUCAAAGAGUAAAUAUCUAUUGAACAGACUAAGUGCCAAGCUCUGUUUUAAGCUCUGUUUCAGUCUCCUCAAAGGGGCUUAUGAUGGAACUCUACAGCUGCAAUUUCAGCAUCUGCAUUUGCUCCUUCAGAGGUUUUUGAACUGGAUUUGUUGUAUAUAAGCCUGCUACUCGUUUCACUCUAGAAGGAACAAAUACAAGAAUGGCGAUAACUGUAACUGCUGGAUUAACUCUGGGAAUGCCAGCCAGUGUCUACAGCUGUUAACAGGUGCCAGUUUAGGAUUCAAUGGGCCUAUAGCAAAUGCUGCACCAUUUACUUUAACUCUUACUUCUACUUCGUACAGUGGGGGGACAAGGGAAACUUUCCCGUUUCAACAACAACUCUAGCAGCUCCCAAGGGAUUUACUCCAAAUAAUUUGGGUAGAAAAUAACAACUACAAACAUAUCAGCAAAUGUCUCUCUAAGAAAAGCCAUUGCUGGCUUGGUCAGCUUGCUCUUCCAAAGUACAGACACAACAUCAAGACAUGGGCAGGAGGUUAUAGGUAUGACUUUGAAAACUGCUGUAGCUACUUCAGCUGUAGCCAGUGAGGAACUAGGUGGGGUAUACUUAUUACCUCAUAAUAUAAAAAGACUGAUAGAAAAGUGAUAAAAGGAUAAUAAACCGCUUAAGGACAAAAAUCGUCCACAUGUCAGGAUAUAGAAAUUCUCAAGAAAUUGUAAAUAAACAGAAAAUAGAUUUUAAAAGGAAAAUAUUAAAGCAAUGAUAAAAGUGUAAGAAGAUAUUAAGGUAGCAGAGCAGCUUCUGCCAUUGACUGCCAGUGGAUGAGAGAAAAAUUCCUCAAUCUCAACAAUUUGAAAAUAGAAAUUGCUCAGGAGUUAAAUGAAGCAGCCAUAGCUCUCAGAACCUGGAAACUAUUACCAGGACUUCAAAACGAAGAUACAACUUCCGCACACUACUUCACAAUCAUGGCUCAGAAGUUUCAGGGGUAGCUUCAAAAGUACAGACAACAGAUUGAAUAACUAGCAAAAGAACCUUCUUGCCACUCAAGCAAUUAGUUCUCGUAUAACCCUGCAAGAUUUAUCAAGAGUUGCACAGAAAAUACAUGAACAUUUGUAGCUUUGGCUGUGCGACCUUGGUCCAUUAUUAAACAGGUAAAGGUAUUCAAAGAACAAUGUCUUCAGCACAGAAAAAUGUUGUUGGGAAAUGCUAUAAAUGUGUUUGAAGCCAGAAAACAGAAGCCAAGAGGUGGCAGAAUGCAUGCAGUUAUUACCAGACCCACCCCUUUCAGCAACAUGCAAAUGAAGCAGCCUUCACCUCAACACUUAGCAGCCUCAGCUGGUAGCAGGGUUUCAGCUGUUUCUAGGGCUUAGUUUGGUACACAUUCAACUCAGCUAUUGGCAGAAAAAGUACCAGCAAGGCCACAUUUGGAUUUGGAAAAAUAAAUAAACCUUCAGAAAUCUUAGUGCAAGCUUUGGCAGCUCAAAUAACAUCUGCAUUUAACUUCAGCAAUUCUGGCAUCACAGUACCCGUUGGUUGGACAUACAGGAUGUCUAAUCCUGUCUCUGUAGGUUUUGGAACAGGAGGGCAGCUCUUUCAGUUGAAGAAACCUCCAACUGGAAACAAAACAAGAAAAAUGGUAA
rnacentral:lncRNA from 1 species